UAGCUAUUGUAAGAUACAUACUUGACACCUGUCUAAAUAAAAUAACACUUCUCUGUUUCACCUGCCACAGAAGAAGAAAAUUGACUCUACUCCUUCAGCUAUACACUCUAUAAUAGGGUUUUCAGUGGAAAGAAUUGUCUUUUGUUGAGAAAAUAUAUCCAUCUGUUCAUCAGUAAUGAGAAGCCAUCAUCUUCUCUUGACUGCUUUCUUCAUAACACUCUUGGUGACACCAGGAUUAUCUCCUGAUACUCCCCAUGAUGUAUCCAGCUGUGAGAUUAAUGGAGGUUUCUGUUAUCAUGUUGCCAAGUGUCCCUCGUGCUUUGGUGAAUAUGGGAGCUGCGACUUUGGUGUGACGUGCUGCUUUAGAGAGAGCUGGCGUCCUGAAUGUGAAGGAGCAACAACACCUAGUGACACGUGGACUUCACCACCUUCAGCAACCGAUGCUCCCCAGAAAUCUAUCUGUAAUUCUGAUUGAUAGAAUCACCUGCCUAUUUGGGUUGUGCCCCAUACCGACAGGUGAAAUUGUCUGCAUGAGAAGAAGACCAAUAGUUAUAUCUUGAUUCUUCUGUUAUUUCUCAUCCUUGGCCUAAUCUCCUCCUCCAUUGUGAUGCUAGCAAACAUCUUCAAUCUUCAAUUUAGAAAAAGAAUCUAAGCUGGAGACAGUUUGCUGGCAUUUCUCCCCACAUGGACUCAGCCUUGUACCCACCUCUACAGCAAAACUAUUAACUACUGACAUACUUUCAAGGUUCCCACAUUUUUUUUUGUUUAAGCAGAUUGGUCUAUGUUUCAUUUUGGAACCCUACUGCUUUCCCCCUUGAAAAUGCAUAUAGUUUAUAGUUAACAAGUGUUUACUUCCUUAAUGGUUCAGGGAGCCUCGGCCAGAGGCUAAUGUUUAGCGUUUUGAGUAGCUCAAUUAAAGGCUUUAACAUGAUUAAUAUACUAGCUCAAUCAAAUAAGAGAUGUCUAUAGAAGUCAAGAGAAGUUAGCUUUAUGAUUGAACUUAUCUACAGACUGAGAUCGGUGCUGUAUGAUUGACAAUUGGGACAUCUUUCGCUGUCAGUCCUGGAAUUCUGGGCAGCUGAUUGAGAGACUUGCUAAGUUUGUAUGCUCUUUUUGGUGCUUUGCUUGUUUUUCAAUAAAAUUUUCUAUUGUCUUGGAAUCCAAAAAGAACUCUUUGCCCUUGGGAAACGGGGAAUAAAGGAGAAAGUCUUUGUUAAUUUCUAGAUUCCAUUUGCUUUUGUUCUGUAUGUUUUUUAUGUAAAGCCAACUUGAGUCCCCUUCAGGGUAAAGAAGGGUGGGAUAGAAAUAUUGUAAAUAAAUAAAUAAAUUUAAUUAGGAUUUUAAAGUUGCAAGAAAUGUUGCAGAAAUGGAGAUCAGCAUGGGACGAAGGGUCGUGCAAUUUAUUCCUGAGCCAGUAUCUGACUGGAUGGAUUUUGGGAGCAGUCCAUAUGUAUCAAUUCUAAUGUAUUAUUUGUUGUAUUGUUGUAAAAAUAUAUAUGCUGAGACUUUAA